GCCGGCCCAGCCACCCCGCCGCCGCCGCGCACCCGCCCUGGCCCCGCCCCGCGGCCCACGCACAGCGCCCACUGGUUGGUGCGUCUGCCAGUCACGGCUCCCGCGACCAAUCGGACCGCACCAGGGGUCUCACUACUCUCCGGGAGGAGCGUCCUAUCCACCCUGUCCAUUGGCUGAUCACCACCGCACCGACUAAAGUGAUUGGCCUGGAAUCAACGCCCCCUCCCCACCCACUCCCGGGAAAACCCGCCCUCCAGACCUAAACAAAGCUUCCUAGUGGACAGAGGUCGAAAGGAUGGCCCAAUCAGGAUGAGGCUGACACGGAAUAUUUCCUCGAGGCCGAGACGUGGUGUUUUGAUUGGACGUCACUACAGUGUUUCCCAAGCCGUCCAGACCAAUCAAAGGGGGUUCCCGGAACUCGGGAACGGCUGUGGGAAGCCCCGCCCCCCAGCGUGACCGUCAUGAGGAAGGCGCUCGCUCAUUGGUGUGCUGGGGCUUUUCCCGCGUGCUCCGGGAGCUGAAGGACGUUCCCGGGGAAGCCGCUGCUGGCGCGUGGGGGUCCCGGUGUCUUCGGAGGACACGCUGGGAUCUCCGGGAUCCCGCAGCCUGCGGCGCUGGCGGGGGGCGGCCCUGCCGGAGGGAUACGUAAGGCACCGAGGCGUGCCGGUUCACAGCGUUCCCGAACCGUUUAGCCGAGAGUCGGGGCGUCGCUGCCCGACACGGGGGAGGGGCGCACCUCCCGGCAGACCACGCCCCUCGGCCAAAUCCCGCCCCUUCCUGGCCUCAGCCCCGCCCCCUCGGCCGGCGCAGCGUCCCCGCGGCCACCCUACGCUCCCGCCUGCCUUGCGCUCCUCUGUCCCCUUUUCUAGCGGCUUAAAAUACUGAAACUUUAUUUUGGUCACGUUGCCCAUGUGACCGGCGGAGCCGAUGAGUCAUAGGUGCCUGUCCCAGGCUGCAGCCGCGGAUCUAGGGCUCGGAACGCUCGACCUCGGCUAGCCUAGCCAAUCCCUCCCGGGCUCCCGGCGCUUCGGUCGGGUUCCAGCCGCAGCUCCGCGCAGCUCUCCUGCCUGUAGGUCCACACCGGAGAGAUUCGCACGCCCUGCAGACACAAGCCCGGGCCAGAAGAGCUGCAAACAGAAACACUGAAAAGUCGAUCGAGUGUUUUGGCGUUAGGAUUGAUCGUCAAAGCCAGUCUGUGCCAAUCCUAACAACGUGUGGUCUUCUUAUGAUGGUCACCGUUGAGAAUUGCUUAGGUUGUUCCAAAAAUAAAGAUGUCCCAAAAGAA